AGUUCACAGCUGUCUCACAUUAGUAAGACUAUAAGAAUAGCACACACACUCUCUGUCAUCUCUGGUGAUUGAAUGUUGUAUAGCUCUUCCGUGGUUUCUAAGUUUCCGUGUUUCUAGUUUCUCUGUUUCCUUGCCUUCGUGUUUUGAUCCCUGGACUGUUUUCUUGUUUAUGAUUGUUUUGCUGCCUGCCCUGACCAUUGCCUGAUUAUCUGGAUUACUCUUUUGCCUUGCCACUGCCAUCGUUGUUUGCUGUUGUUGACCACGCCUGUUUGACUACGCUCUUAUUAAAGCCUUGCAUUUGGAUCCCCACUUUGACGUCACGCCUCCCUCGUUACACUUUCUUUCUUUCUUUCUUUCUUUCUUUCUUUUAUUUAUUUAUUUAUUUAUUUGUUCGUUAUUCAAUGUAUUUAGAGAUGAUUCCUUAGGAAUUGUUGUUCAUUCGUUCAUUCAUUUAUCAUUUUAGAAUUUGGUCUUUAAUUCAUUCUUUCUUUCU